GCAGCAUAAUCACAGCACACUAGUUGCUCAGCUGAGAAAUUCACCACGCGCACACUGAGACACGCACACAUACACUCAAACGCGUGCCAGCAAGCAAUUAGGCAUAGGCAGCGUUGCUCUCGCUGCCAGCGCUAGACUCUCGCCAGCCGCGACUGUUUUGGCAAUUUUCACAAAGUAUCGGGUUGUUGAGCGUUGCGGACGUGUGCUGAUCUGAACGCGGGCGUCAAUCGGAUAUUAGAGAGUAAAAUACCAAGGCAAGAAGAAGUAAUUCAAUAAAAUCACAAACAAAACGGCAGCCGAAAGCAAUUGGUUAACGGGCGCAGAGAAAUAAAAAUUAAAAGAAAUUUUGUUUGGUAAACAAAUAAAUUGCAGCAAUUAAAAUAUAAAUAAAUCCAUCAUCAGCGAAAGCAAACGAUUGUGUAAGUAAGCGGCUGCAAGUAAAAACUUUGCUAGCCGAUUGUGAUUGUGUAGCAUUCUUUUCACGCUGUUCGCCAAUUGCCUGUGCACGCUGCGAAUGACUGACUGUCUGGCCAAUUGUGGAUUGUGCGCCACAAUUUAUUGUAAGAUUCAGUGAUUUUUUUGUGCUUUGUCCAUUUCGUGUCACAAACCAGUUUGUGCAACGGCGUGCGUGUGUUGCAAAUAGUGCGCCAAAAAUAUUUUUUUUUACUUUCAAGUGCUGAGUGUGAGAUUUGUUUGUGCACCGCCGGCAUUUCGCGUGAACUUAACACAAUUUGUGAUGAUUUUGUACCCUGGUUAUGAUUGCAGUGACCUGUGGCUAGCCGUUGAUUGUGGUUGGUGAUAAAGAAAAUUACAAAUUUCGUUAAAAAAUUGUUAAAAAUAUCCUUUCAAAUUAAAAAAAAAAUGUGUAGUGAUUAAGAUUUCAUGACCAAAAAUUAGUUUAUUGGAAAAUUGUAGAGAAGGAAAAAAUAUUGCAGGCGCCAACAGCUGAGAAGCUAUAAUAAAGCUAACAACUCUGAGUUGCAAAUUGAUGGUACAAUAACCACAAUAAACUGAAAAAGUCGCACCAAAAAUUCCGAAAAGACAGGUGUGCAAUAUCAUCGCCGUUCGUAAAAAUACCAACAAACCUGUACAAACAUAAAUGAUAAAUUUACGCAUACAUAUAUAUAAACUAUUAGGAAAUGUGUGGAAACUUAGUAUGUAGUUAUUUCAAAGAUAAGCAUAAUUUAAAAAAAUUGUGAAUUGUGGAAAAAUUUCGUGAGAAGUAAAAGUGAGAAAAACUAAUAUAAAAAAAAUAAACAAAAAAUAAUAAUUUCUGAAAAAUCUUAUUCAAUAAAUAAUAAUAUAUGUCCAAUUUUGAAUGCAAAACAUGAAAAAGGAAAUUGUUUUCAUAAAAAAUAUGUGUAAAUAGCUGAAAAAACGUGAAAUUUUUAGAAAAAAUUAUGGGAAACGGAUUGUGAAAAAAAUCGACGCAGAAAAUUCCGCGUAAAAACUGGAUUAUCUGGAGCAAAUAACUGAAAAAAUUUGAAUAAAUGCAGCUGUGUGCCACUGAUAGAUUUUAGGUAGAAAAACUGCACUUUUAUUGAAUUUAUAACAUAACGGAUAAUUAAAUAAGCAACAAUAGCAACGUAUAAAAAAUUUGUUGGAAAAAAGUUAUAAAAUAAAAAUUAAUUAGAGUAAAUGAUGCAUAGGGGCGUGAACCUAAUAGUAUUUAGUUAAAUAUGAAAGAUUAAAAUACGUGAAAAAGUAAUAAGAUAAAAUAUCAAAACAAAUUUGGAACCAACACAACCCAAAAUAAAAGUUUUAUCUCAAAAACAUAGUCAACGUGUAUUAGUGUUAAUCAUUCUAAUUAUAUAUAAAAAAUUAUAAAAAUAUAAAAAAUUAUUUUAAGUGCAACAAAUAGUACAUCCUUAACCCAACAUUAGCAGCAAGUAAAAAUAUAGUGUACUCUCAGAAAAUAUCAACAAGAAAACAGCAAAAACUCCGGCAGGAUGUCUGAAACGCAAGACAACAACGGCGACCAGCCGCUGCAGGACGAGGCGGGCGGCAGUGAGAAUAAAAUGAAAUCACGCCUACGUAAAGGCGCGCUAAAGAAGAAAAAUAUUUUCGCCGUUAAAGAUCAUUGCUUUAUACCGCGUUUCUUCAAGCAGCCAACAUUCUGUUCGCAUUGCAAGGAUUUUAUUUGGUGAGUACAAUUAAUUUAAAUUAUUUAUAGUAAGCAAAUUGCAUAAAAUUUAGUGGUAGCAAGGGCAAUAUGUUAUGAAAACGAAUAAAACUCUUAAAAAAUAGUUUACCAAAUUAAAAGUAAAAUUUAGUCCUGAAAUUAAUUUCGUAGAAUAUUCAUCAUACGCCAUGUGCAACAG